AGGAGGGAAUUUGGGGGGAUGAAGGGUAUACUCUAUAUUUUAAUUAAAAUGGUGAACAUAUCACUGUAUGUUUAUCCAAUUUCAGAAGUGGGCAUCUAAAAAAAGGGUGACCUUUGAUGUAUGUAAAUUAUACUAAAAAGCUUGAUGUAAAGAAAAGAGGUCCAUUGAAGCUGUAGAAUGGUCAGUCUUAGAGGUGGGAUGUGGGGGGUGAGGGAGGAGGGGGAGUCAGGGAUGAGGCCAUGGUUCCCGGCUUGACUCACACCCUGGUGAAUCUGUGGGGAGAGGGGGAGGGUGGGGCUCAGAGGAUGCCUCCAUGGCUCCUGGGAUCCUGUCAGCCCUUCAGAAGUGGGAUUCUGGAAGGGCAGCAAGAAACCUCUGCCAUUGCCGGGAGCACCUGGUGGUGGGUGAGUUUUAGGGAGCACUGCCGUACAAGGGUCUGAUUGUCCUAGAGUCACUCACACCAGUUAGUGGUCGUGAAGACACAUUUCAAGCCAUCUGGGAUAGCCACUUUCUUCCAGAGCCUAAAUGCCGACCCCACAAGACUUCAAAACUCUGUCCCUGGCUCCUUAUCUUCCUGCCUGACUAUUAAUAAAAUUGGUGAUGAUGGAAAUAAAAAGUACAGAUUUA